rnacentral:lncRNA from 1 species
AUCCUCCUCCAACACCUAAACAGGACCAUUGCCAACGCGUUCUAAUACAAUGUCUUUCCUGAGACACUAGUACAACACCUCUCUAAGCUCUAGUCUGAUCAUAAAUCUCUACUUAUCAAAACUAGAAUCAGCCAAUCACACUGUAGGAAGCCCCAACCGUUUCAUUUCCUUGCAGCUGGGAUCACCCAUCCGGACUUCCCAAACCUGGUCAAACAUAGUUAGAAUGGCUUUGUCUCUUUCUAGGCCACCAUGGAGAACUUCUUA